AACGAGUGGGAAUCUACCCAUCUAUACGGAACAACUCCGGGAAAGUGGAGCUAAUACCGUAUACGUCCUUCGGGAGAAAGAUUUAUCGGAGAUGGAUGAGCCCGCGUUGGAUUAGCUAGUUGGUGGGGUAAUGGCCUACCAAGGGGACGAUCCAUAGAUGGUCUGAGAGGAUGAUCAGCCACACUGGGACUGAGACACGGCCCAGACUCCUACGGGAGGCAGCAGUGGGGAAUAUUGGACAAUGGGCGAAAGCCUGAUCCAGCCAUGCCGCGUGAGUGAUGAAGGCCCUAGGGUUGUAAAGCUCUUUCAUACAGGGUGGA
rnacentral:rRNA from 1 species